UUGAUGAACGCUAGCGACAGGCUUAACACAUGCAAGUCGAGGGGCAGCACAGGUAGCAAUACCGGGUGGCGACCGGCGCACGGGUGAGUAACGCGUAUGCAACUUACCUAUCAGAGGGGGAUAACCCGGCGAAAGUCGGACUAAUACCGCAUGAAGCAGGGGCCCCGCAUGGGGAUAUUUGCUAAAGAUUCAUCGCUGAUAGAUAGGCAUGCGUUCCAUUAGGCAGUUGGCGGGGUAACGGCCCACCAAACCGACGAUGGAUAGGGGUUCUGAGAGGAAGGUCCCCCACAUUGGUACUGAGACACGGACCAAACUCCUACGGGAGGCAGCAGUGAGGAAUAUUGGUCAAUGGCCGAGAGGCUGAACCAGCCAAGUCGCGUGAGGGAUGAAGGUUCUAUGGAUCGUAAACCUCUUUUAUAAGGGAAUAAAGUGCGGGACGUGUCCCGUUUUGUAUGUACCUUAUGAAUAAGGAUCGGCUAACUCCGUGCCAGCAGCCGCGGUAAUACAGAGGAUCCGAGCGUUAUCCGGAUUUAUUGGGUUUAAAGGGUGCGUAGGCGGCCUUUUAAGUCAGCGGUGAAAGUCUGUGGCUCAACCAUAGAAUUGCCGUUGAAACUGGGGGGCUUGAGUAUGUUUGAGGCAGGCGGAAUGCGUGGUGUAGCGGUGAAAUGCAUAGAUAUCACGCAGAACCCCGAUUGCGAAGGCAGCCUGCCAAGCCAUUACUGACGCUGAUGCACGAAAGCGUGGGGAUCAAACAGGAUUAGAUACCCUGGUAGUCCACGCAGUAAACGAUGAUCACUAGCUGUUUGCGAUACACUGUAAGCGGCACAGCGAAAGCGUUAAGUGAUCCACCUGGGGAGUACGCCGGCAACGGUGAAACUCAAAGGAAUUGACGGGGGCCCGCACAAGCGGAGGAACAUGUGGUUUAAUUCGAUGAUACGCGAGGAACCUUACCCGGGUUUGAACGCAUUCGGACCGAGGUGGAAACACCUUUUCUAGCAAUAGCCGUUUGCGAGGUGCUGCAUGGUUGUCGUCAGCUCGUGCCGUGAGGUGUCGGCUUAAGUGCCAUAACGAGCGCAACCCUUGCCACUAGUUACUAACAGGUAAAGCUGAGGACUCUGGUGGGACUGCCAGCGUAAGCUGCGAGGAAGGCGGGGAUGACGUCAAAUCAGCACGGCCCUUACAUCCGGGGCGACACACGUGUUACAAUGGCGUGGACAAAGGGAAGCCACCUGGCGACAGGGAGCGAAUCCCCAAACCACGUCUCAGUUCGGAUCGGAGUCUGCAACCCGACUCCGUGAAGCUGGAUUCGCUAGUAAUCGCGCAUCAGCCAUGGCGCGGUGAAUACGUUCCCGGGCCUUGUACACACCGCCCGUCAAGCCAUGGGAGCCGGGGGUACCUGAAGUCCGUAACCGCGAGGAUCGGCCUAGGGUAAAACUGGU
rnacentral:rRNA from 1 species